GCGCCCUUAGCUCAGUCGGUAGAGCAUCUGACUUUUAAUCAGGUGGUCGUGGGUUCGAGCCCCGCAGGGCGCACCA
rnacentral:tRNA from 1 species